rnacentral:rRNA from 1 species
GACGGAGGAUGCAAGCGUUAUCCGGAAUUAUUGGGCGUAAAGCGUCCGCAGGUGGCAUUUCAAGUCUGCUGUCAAAGACCGGGGCUUAACCCCAGAAAGGCAGUGGAAACUGAAAAGCUAGAGAUAGGUAGGGGCAGAGGGAAUUCCCAGUGUAGCGGUGAAAUGCGUAGAGAUCAGGAAGAACACCGGUGGCGAAGGCGCUCUGCUAGGCCGCAACUGACACUGAGGGACGAAAGCUAGGGGAGCGAAUGGG